CGAGCGCUCGUGUGUGUCUUUCAGUGUGCCGAAAUAUUACCGUCCACGUAUUUCAUCUAUGUUAUCUCAAUGAUGUUCCUGCAUCCUGAUAGAUCCUAGCGUCUUUGAGUCAUUUUAGGAUGACACACCAUCUCCCUCUCUCCAUGUUUCAGGGUCUGUCGAUGAUGGUUGCCGUAGAGAUCAAUAGAUCCUGCGGAGGACCGCAUGGGUUCCAAAGAUAAACCAGAGCCCAACGGCCCGAGGAUGAAAGCCUUUCCUUCACCCCGCCAGUAUAACGGCCUUUCGGCGGACACUCACUCACACUCUGACAGGAAACACAUGAAACAGGGAAAUCCUUCGCAACUGCAGCACAGUCUUCAGAUGGAAAGGCUUCCAGGACUGUCUGGCUGUUGGAGGCAAACUUGUGGAGCCUGAGGUUUGACUCAGCCAGUGACAUCUGUGUUCUGCUCAACAAGCUGAUGGCUUCGGCAUCAGACGACGCAGAACAAAGGCCGUCGUCCACAUAGAAGCGGCGUUUAACGAAGUUGACUGUGUCGGACCCAUGUUCUCGUGCACCCUCUCUAAUUGCUCUCCUCCGUAGAUGGCUACAGCUGGGGACGGACUGUUGCCGAAAACAUGAACUUUCAUUCUGUAGUCUAUGAUUUCUUUUGUCACGUCAUUGUCCCGGUACCACAGGAAUCUCAGAUAAUUUCUGUGGUCCUCCUGCACCAAAAAGCAGUGAAACAACUGCUGUAUGCCUGCCAAGAUGGCAACCUUUUCCUUACGGAACCGCAUCAGAACUCCGAGGAGAGAAUUGCUAGCACGGUUGUCUUAGGGGUUAAGAUCACAGAUCCGAACCCUUUCAUGAAUAUAUCCUUUAAGACUCUCGGGUUUCAAACUCUGCUGCAGGCUUGUUAUUCGCUGGUCUCAACAUUUGGAUGAUAUGGCGUCGAAUUAAUGCGGGACAAAAAAAGUUGUCUGUGGAAGUAAAAAUAAAUAAAUGAAAAUGUUUAAAAAAAAGACCUGCGUUAAGAACAGCGUAAGAACAUUCUCCAACGCUCAUGGGGUAAUGGAUAGAGACAGUUCAAAGUUGUGCUGGUGCUAUCACUGCCAAAUUUGUCCCCAUCAUCUUCUGGUUUUCUACAAGAAAUGGGAAUGGGAAGCAGAUGAGCCGCUGUCCCUGCUGGCCAUUCUGACCAACAAUGCAACGGUGCAACAGCCGUGCCCGUUGGGUAACCCCUGCUUGCAGUCUUCUGGAUGAAAUAAACAUGUGUGUGUUGUCCUCACUGCAGUGUAGCAACUGCAGCUAUACAACUAGUUAAACUCUUCCUUAUAAAUGAAGACGUGAGUCGUAGUAAGCUUUAGUUGCUCUUUACUGUGGCUCUUUCUCUCAUUGUACAAGGUCAGAGUGAAAACUGUAACAAGACAAAUACGAAAAUUACCAUUUAGCUCUGUAACAGGUGCUUUCCACAUGUAAAUAAAUGUAAAUAAAACGUUUUUA